rnacentral:lncRNA from 1 species
GUCCAUGUGACCUUUUCUGAGCGGCUGAGCCUUACAUGCAUGCAAUCUAGAUAUAUUUUUGAACGACCUGCUUAAGCUAUAUUUGCGAGGUUCGAAAGGUGUACUUUUAGUAGGUUGAAUAUUGACUUUUCUGUUUUGGAGAUCAUCCUACUGCCGAAUGGACCUUGCGCCGCAUCCUUGAUUUUUAUAUUAAAUUGAGUAUAAGCAAUACAGUUAGCAUGCAUAAAAAUAAGACAAUAACACGUACACAAAUCUUACCAGCUGUAUUGGCUUUGCUCGUAAUUUAACUGAACAUAAGUUUUAUCACCAUUACUUGCGUUAUUCUUUAUUUAUUCUUAUUUAUUUUAGACCUGAACACGGAGACUCAAGCAUCACUAAUUUUUUUUUAUUUUCGAGGAGACUAAUUGGUUAUUUUAGCUGCACAACCUUCUUAACUACUCCUCCCUACGUUCUACUGUAAACCGCAACAAUAAUUAUUGAAGGGAGGGAGUAGAUCCGUAACAUAUCCGUUUCCACCUAUACAUGGCCACACGUUGUACUAAACAAUGCAAGAUUUGUUAAUUUGAGGGGAUCGAUUAUAUAUAUACACGGGGCAAUUAUUUUCCAAAUAAUGCCCAUUCUGGAAUCUAGACGGAGCCAGGAACCGAAAGUGCUACCCAGCAGCCUUGUCAUGUAAGAGGUCCAAACCGGCACUCGAAAUACGUACCUUUAGGUUUUGUCCGUGAGAACUAAUCAAAGUUUCUCCAGAAAAGGGAGCAGCUCAGUUCAAACUCACCAACUUGGGAGACAGAAAUCGUACUGUCACGUACACCAGGUUGACGUCAUAUAUAUGCA